AUUAAAGUGUCUGAUAAAAGUAGUAAACUGUAAAUUUAYUUAUGAACUAAAUGUUCCUUUAAUA
rnacentral:tRNA from 1 species